AGACAGACAGACAGACAGACAGACAGACAGACAGACAGACAGACUGACAGACAGACAGACAGACAGACAGACAGACUGGUGGGAUAGAAACUGACUGACUGGUGGGAUAGAAACUGACGGACGGACAGACUGGUGGGAUAGAAACUGACGGACUGGUGGGAUAGAAACUGACUGACUGAUUGACUGACUGGAGCCAUACAUCGUCAUGAUCCGGACAAUUCCCUAAGCUCUUCUUACCUUAUCAAUAUGACUCCAACCUGUUCUCACACGUGGGAUUGAACUGAACUAUGUUUGUAUCUCAAAUUGCACCCUAUACGGUGCACUACCCUGGUCAAAAAAGUAGUGCACUACAUAGAAAAUAGGGUGCAAUUUGGGAUGUAUCCUGUGUGUUCACUUUGCUUUAGGGCCAGCGGUUCUUCUGGUUGCCUCGUAACCUGGCCAGGAGACUUUGGUCCAGGGUAUAUUUAGGGCCUGGUCAAGCCUUGGUUUUCAUCUCAAAUGGUACCAUAUUCCCUAUAUAGUACACUACUUUUAACCAGGACCAAUGGUCUUGGCUUGUGGUCUAAAGUGGUGCACUAUAUAGGGAAUAUGGUGCCAUUUGGGAAUAACUCUGGGCCCCUAUGUUAAGGGUAAUGUCUCAUGUUGUUGGUGUUCUCGUUAGAGUAUGUUCAUUACAAACCACACGGAGGAAGACUACCUUUGAUUUCUGUCAUAAAACGUUUUUCUGAUGAACCACAACCCAGAAUAAAAUUAAACCUCUGUCAU